CCGGGCAGUAUGGGCAGUAUGGGGAAGUGCGAGCUACAGCUUCCCAAGCUGAAUGUCGUCGGUUCGAUCCCGAUCGCCCGCUCCA
rnacentral:tRNA from 1 species